UAGGUACUCCCUUCGUCCAGAAAUAUUUGUUCUCAAAAUGGAUAAAUUGGAUGUAUCUAUAACUAAAAUAAUUCUAGAUACAUCCAUUUCUAGGACAAGUAUUUCUGGACGGAGGGAGUAUUAA
rnacentral:pre_miRNA from 1 species